CGUGUAGGUGGCUAAGUAAGUUAGGUGUGAAAUCCUCCCGCUUAACGGGAGAAGUGCACUUAAAACUACUUAGCUAGAGUACGAGAGAGGAAGGUGGAAUUCCUGGUGUAGAGGUGAAAUUCAUAGAUAUCGGGAAGAACACCGGUGGCGAAGGCGGCCUUCUGGCUCGAUACUGACGCUGAGACGCGAAAGCGUGGGGAGCAAACA
rnacentral:rRNA from 1 species